rfam:Ixodes scapularis strain Wikel colony gcontig_1108378665064, whole genome shotgun sequence.
AGCUUUGCGCAGAGGCAGUGUCGUACUCGAUGACGAGAACGGAGGGGCGGCUAUUGCUAGUUGAAAACUUUUGCCAAUACCCCGCCGGGACGUCGUGCAAUACCGACGGCCAUGGCAAUUUUUUGGUAAGCCCCACGGGGC